rnacentral:rRNA from 1 species
AACGUAGGACACAAGCGUUAUCCGGAGUUACUGGGCGUAAAGGGCGUGUAGGCGGAUCGGUAAGUCUACUCUGAAAGCUCCUGGCUAAACUGGGAGAGGCGAGUGGAGACUGUCGGUCUAGAGUGAGGAAGAGGAAAGUGGAAUUCCGCGUGUAGUGGUGAAAUGCGUAGAGAUCCGGAGGAACACCAGCGGCGAAGGCGGCAUCCUGGACUGGUCCUGACACUCAGGAGCGAAAGCGUGGGGAGCGAUCCGG